CCUUUCUCGGCCUUUUGGCUAAGAUCAAGUGUAGUAUCUGUUCUUAUCAGUUUAAUAUCUGAUACGUGGGCCAUUGGUCCACAUGAUAUUAAAUUAAUUUUUUAAGGGGGAGAGCCCAUGCCGGUAGCUUGCUGCUGGGGUUCUCGCGCGUCGCCCAAGCGUUGCACUGCAGCUUAGGCCUGGCGCACCCACCAAUGCCAGUUUAGGAAAAUGUUGGAAAUGAGACUGUUUGGACCGUGUAGAAAGGAAGGGAAGCUACAACUCUCUGUUUGAAAAUUCCUUAAUCCCACUUUAGACAAAUAAAAGUAAGGAGCAGGAAACAGAGGAAGCAGAGACUAUAAGUACAGGGCAGGUGGCAACGAUGCAACAUACUUACCUGGACGGGGUCGAUGGGUGAUCAAAAAGGCCCAUGGCUUAGGUAAGCGGCCUCCAUUGCACUUAGGAGGGGCGCUUGCUUAUGGUCUCCCCAGGUGGGAGAGCCAACGUCAUAAUUUGUGGUAGUGGGGGCCUGCGUUCGCGCGGCCCCUAUC